AUCGAGCGCCGAGGAGCGAGCGCGCAUGGAGCCACAGGGCGCUUGCACACAAAUACACCAUGUUUAGCAGCAGAAAGGGUCUUACCUCUUGAAUAAAUGGAACAGAGCACUGGGAACUGAUGGCAGGAGACCUCCAUAUGGCCCUGUGAAGAGAUCUGAGACAUGGCCUUCGGGAUGAGAUAAAUCACCGUUACCGGUGUUGGGAUGUGCAAGUGUCCCAAUUGGAUGUACUCUUUUGGAUGGUCUGAGAUUUUUCAUGACUAAGAAGGAAAAGAAACGGUGAUAAGCAUCCCUAUG